UUAAGGUUACUGACUUUUACCUUCUGACUGGGCUCGGAUGGCUGGGGCAUCAGAUAAAUAAAUCAGGUAAAGGUCAAAGCACGUCAAGUCAUCCAUGCCCCUCCCCACCUGCCCAUCACACUCUGUAUGGACGAAUUUAAGCCAUGUAGCCAUGCUCCACCAGUGCCAUUGGGAGAUACACAACCCCAGCAGGAUGAGCUCACACUGGGACAGCCAAUACAACACUGCAUAUCUGAGAGUGGUGUUAAACUUGGCAAGUGAGAAAAAAAGAGGGGGAGGAAUGAGAACAAACAGUGUGACUGACAGGGAGUGUGAAAGAAAAAAGAAAGACGAGCAAAAUGGAAGAACGCUGCAGUUCACAAUGCCGUCUGGCAAAGGACAUCUUCCAGAGAAAUAAAGUCACUCUUUUGGGGCAUCCUGCAUGUUCCCCUGAUCUAAAUACAGUGGAUGUCGUCCGUGAAGAAAUCUUCACCACCUGGAGCAACAUUCCCACGAGCCUCCUGGAAACACUGGCAGCCAGCAUUCUCUAACCAAUUUUUGAUGCGAUUAACAAGAAUGGUGCAUCUACUCAUUACUGAGUCCUUUUUUGAACAUUUUAUUUCUAUUUUGGGGGGCGUUCGGGGUUUGUCGAGGUAUGGUCUUAAAUUUUUGACCAGCCUAUUUUAAUGGUUGUUUGCAAUAAAUUGCUUAGUGUUGUGGAGAGAGCUAUCUGCUAGGACUUUAAAGCUAAACUUACCAUUCAAAAUAGCCUUUUCUUUGUUCAUUUCUGCUCAGUAUUUGUUCCCGCUUGCGGCUCCACAUCCACCACUGCGUUUCCUCAAACUACGUUGUGGGUUGUGGGUCAAACAGGACGUGCGCAUGUUAAUCACGCGUCAAAAAAAAAAAAGUGCUGUUAAAAGAAAUUCCCGUUAACGCAUUCACUUUGUCAGCCCUAAUAUGUAAAUGUUUUUUUUUUUUUUAUUAUAAACUGUUUUGGUUUUUUUUUAUGAUAAAUAUCAAAGGACAGCUGGGCAGCCCUGACGUAAAUAGGUAAAGACAAGUAUUAUUAUUAUUUAUUAAUAUUAUUAUUAUUAUCCAGUAUAUUAUAACAGUGGUUUAGUAGUAGUAGUUUAGUUUUGUCUCAAAAAGUGUUGACAAUAAUAUCAAAUUCAAAACACACCAGCAUUGUUUUGUGAUUUGGUUAAACAAAAAAAAAAAGGUUGUUUGUCCAGUCAUAUUUUUUCAUUGUACUUUUCUUAAAAUUUAUGUUAAAAUCUCGUUUUGACGAUCCGAUCUCAUGCAUCGUCUCGUCUUGGGUGAGUUGGGUGUUUCGUGACACCCCUAGUACAUAUAUAAAAACACAUAUGCUAUUGUCACACAGCUCUAACAUGCUACAACUACAUUCAAACAAUCCCAUUUUUAUUUAGAAAUAUUUCAACAAAAAGGGAUCUAAUUCAAAAUAGAAAAUGUAUGAUUAUACUAUAAUAAUGAACUACAUGUAUGCUCAUCACGUUUUAAUUGAAUACUGGGUCCCCUUCUCCCAAGCCACCUGGAAACAUUUAGAAAGUUGGCCAUAUGUCUCCACGGGGACUUGUGCAGAGGUUUCCCUGCUGACUGAUCAGUGUUGAGACAUCAUGUAGACACAGCAGAGAGACACAAAAACAACCCAGGUGGGCACCCAGAAAGUGAUAGAUUGAGACAAAGCCAGAAGGAAGUAAGGGAGGAAGAGCACGAGCAGACAGAGAAGAGAGAUGAAGGAGGGAGGGGUGGGUGUGAGUGAGAACGCGAUAGUCCACGUGACGUUGGCUCAGCCACUGCAGGCUGUUACGUAAGUACAACCCCUGCCCUCUCUCCUCAUGGACUGAGCAGACACUGCUUCUCUCCAAUCACUCUGCAGCCGCUACACAUUUUUUUUCCCCCCACUCUUCCGCUCACAUGUCUUCUCACAUGGCUGCCUCGCCGUCUUCCUCCUCGGUCUCUCUCUCUUUCCCCCCCACCAACUCAUUGCACCCCAGGGGAGCCACCAGCCUCUAAUGCUAAUGCUGUCACUCCGUCUCCCUCACCCUGUCUGUUUUUGUCUGUCUCUUUCUCAUUAUUUCCAUCAACUUCUUGCGCUCCCUCCCUUCUUCUGUGCGGCUGUGAGGCUGCAGCUCCACGCUCAGGGCUACAGGGAUAUGACAGAGAGGCCACAGAGACAUGCUUGAACACACACACCUACACAAACUGACAUUUACCCUGCUGCACUGUCUAGCUUCUUGAAUGCACUGGGCAACUUUUGACUAUCUACUUUGAAUCGGACCUAGUGUAAAAAAAAAAAAAAAAAAAGGCUCCAUCAGUAGUCUCGUUUAUAAAGUGGGAGAAAUAAUUAUUUGAUCCCUUGCUGAUUUUUGGUAAAUUUUAAGACAGAAUAUUAAUGUUAAUUUGCAUUCGAGUGAAAUAAGUGUUUCAUCCUCAAGUAAAACAUGACUUGGUACUUAGUAAAUGUCGUGUAGUCGGCAAUCACAGAGGCCAGAUGUGUCUUGUAGUUGGUCAUCAGGAGGGAUUUAGGUCCACUUCUCUUCACAAAGACUCUAAAUCUUGAAGGUUUUGAGGCUGUCUCUUGGCAACUUCAUUUCCCUCCACAUAUUUUCAAUGAAAUUAAGGUCUGGAGAAAGGCUAGGCCACAGCACGAUCUUAAAGUACUUAUCCAUUCACUUCUGAACAUUCAACCUUGUGGGCCAAAGUCAGAUUCUUAUAUACAGAGACUAUACAGAGAAUAGUAGCAAAUGUCAACACGAGUUUGUGUCCCGAAGAAAAUAUCAUCUGCCCUGAGAGGAGCAGCAGCAUCACACACACACACACACACACACACACACACACACACACACACACACACACACACACACACACACUUCCCUACAUCUAUGGUAAUCCUCUUGAAGGUGGUAACCAAGUGACUUUGGUGCUAACACUCUGACUUUCCAACCAAUGGUCAUAGCUUCUAUCAAUCACAUCGUUAUUUACUCCCCAAAACCCCUGGUUAAAAAAGCAAGACGGGUCCUCCUUUCACCCUCUGCAGUACUGAUUUGUUUGUCCAGAGCUCGCCCCUCAUUCUCCACCACCUCCCCUCGUCUCCCUCUCAGGCUGUGUCCUCAAGUGACUCUUUUCCUUAUGUAACUCAGAAAAGCCCACUGCAUACAAAUGAGGGAGUUUCUUGGCUGAGAGACAUGGGAGAGAAUAAGCGUUGCCAGUAGCAGCGUAGCACUGCCGGCACUUUCCAAACAAGGCUAAACCCAGAAGAAACCUUGAGAUACUUUCACCCCAUUACAAGGGUUUUGUGUCUGUGUGUCAACCACUCACCGACUCCUGAAACCAUUCCUUCUUGUCCAGCAUCUCUCGAAGUGUCUGCAGAAUCUUGAUGCAAAGCUUUUCCUCUUUGUCCAUAAGCUUCUUGGUGUGUUUGAUCAGCCUGUCAGAGCAAUCAUAAAUGGUUGUAUCAGAUGUUUGUGUACAGAGAGGCCAGAAAAAGAGUACAUUAGGUUUCAUGAUCCAUCAUACAAUUUCUGAACAAAACAAUUCAUGUCAGAAUGAACAAUGGUGGUAAUAGGUAUUUUCUCCCAAACCACCCAAUAUGUGUGUGCCUAUCCUCCAAUAGCAGUUUUGUAAUUCUUAUUUUGAUGGCAUAUGCUGUAUGUACAGCGGUACCUCGACUUUCGUUAUUCAUUAGUUUCAAAAUGUCAGACAAAAACCGACAAAACCCGAAGCAAAACUGGGGAGAUUCAAGGUUUGACUGUAUAUUUCUACAACAAUUCAAUACAUUAUGCAUACUGGAUAUAAACUACCAAAGUGUUGCAAUCAAAGGGUGGUCCCUGUAAAGCAAUUAUAAAAUCAAUACUGAACAAAGUCCAUCAGUGAGUCCAACAACUGAGCAAUUAAAUUGUUUCUCAAGCUUCCCCUUUCUAGGUACUGUACCAAUGUCACGACUAAUGGUACAGUUAUGUAAUGUCCUCAACUUGCAAAAAGAAACACACAUCCAUCUAUUUUCUAUGCCGCUUCUCCUCUUUAGGGUCACGGGGGCAUGCUGGAGCUUAUCCCAGCUGACUUCGGGCGACAGACAGGGUACACCCUGGACUGGUCGCCAGCCAAUGGCAGGGCACAUAUAGACAACCAUUCACACUCACAUUCAUACCUAUGGACAAUUUAGAGUCACCAAUGAACCUAACAUGCAUGUUUUUGGAAUGUGGGAGGAAACCGGAGUACUCGGAAAAAACCCAUGCACGCACGGGGAGAACAUGCAAACUCCACACAGAAAUGCCCAACAGAGAUUCGAACCCAGGUCUUCCCAAUCUCCUGACUUUGACGGUGUGGCCAACAUGCUAACCACUAGACCACUGUUCAGCCCCCAUUAUAUCUUGUGACAUCAUAUAUUAGCUACACAUUGUUAGCAACUUACUUUGACAUGAAAGCUCCACUCUCACAUCGUAGGCGAGCGGCCUCUGGAAACAGCAGCUCAGGGCUGUGGAGGACAUCGACCAACACCGAAAACUCCGCCUGAACCUUUGGACUGAAUUGCUCCUCUAGAUGGGACACGACUCCCUGCGCACGCACACACACACACACACACACACACACACACACACACACACACACACACACACGUAUACAAAGAAACACAGAUUAGUACAGUGGAACCUUGGUUGGCAUCAUUAAUCCGUUCCUGAAGACUCAACUCAAACCAAAACGGACUCUAACAGAAUACAUUUUCCCCAUAAGAAAUGUAAAUCCAAUUAAUGCGUUCAAGAAAGCCAAAAACGUCUAAUAGCAAGCUAAUAGGACAUUUUGUGAUAAAAAAUACAUUAAGCACACAGUUGGACUCACACAUUGUAUUAAUAACACGAUGUGUGCCAUAUUGUACGUUAACCGGAAAAUGUACGCAAACAGGCAAAUUGGGCAUUCGUUUUUUUACUUUAACUGAAAUUCCACUUUUGAUAUGGAGUGAAAACCAUAUUCGAUAUUUUACAUAUUUUUUUUUUAUGUUUCCUAUGCUGAAGUAACUCUUAGUUCAAUACAUCUGAUCAUUGUGUCCCAAACCGGGGGGGCCCUUGCACACUGCAGUAUUCCAAUUUCAAACAUUUUGUAAAGCGACACUGUCAGGUAAAACCUGUGCAUUGUCAAAUCAGAUACUACUGUUGAAGGGGGUGCGAGAAGGGAUGACAAUGUUUUCACUUGAUCUCUAUGCGACAAUUCAAUUCGGCGGAGUCUGAUUCUACUACCAACCUCUCAGUCGAAUCAUAUGAAAAUGUCAUGUGAUCAAGAUUGUACCAUUCUGACUACAUGGGGUGUGGCCACUGUGGGUUUUCUCUGGGUUUUCUGGCUUCCUCCAACAUUCCAAAAAUACAUUAUAUUAUAGGUAUUUGGGAAAGGUUAAAAAUGACCCCAAGAAAGUUAAGCGGUACUUGUUACAUUUCACACGACAACAACCAACUGACGUAUCAUUUAAAACAGGUAAGGCUGUUACACCAACUUCAUUUUAUAUCCCGACUGUGGAUUGCAAUCCAAGAGAUUAGGCUGCUCACUGAGUUUUGGCAAGUUGUUGUUUUUCAAACUAUGGUGUUUCUAUUUUAUGUGCUCUUUUCUGAUGUGUGAUAUGCUCACUUGCCGAAAGAGACUGUGAUUCGGAUUUGUUCAUCUCGCUUUUUGUGUCACUAAUUCAAUUAAAGGUACUGCUGUGCACACAUGCCAUGUUUACUUGUAUAUGUGAGUGUUUUAGCCUUUUUGUUUGAGGUGGAAAAAGUCACAAAUGAGAUCUGUUUAUUUGUAGGGAUCCCCAUUAGCUGUGCUAAAAAAAAACAUAUUACGAUUAGUGGGCUAUUGACAAAAUCUAACAAAUUACAAAAAAAAAAUCCUUAUUCGAAGAAAGCCUAAUUUUGUCCCACACGUCAAAAUUGUAUGACCUUUAGGGCAUUUAAUGCACUUUAUGUAGUAAAUUAAUACCUGCAACUUCUCAAUUAUAGUCUUGUAGUCAGGACCACCGAGGUUCUCCUUGCGGGGCCGGGUGCGGGCAGAGAUCCUCCAAUCCUUUGCUGCCCGCUGAACCAUGUUGCUAUGAGCCUUUAGAGAUAGGGUGUUGACCUGACUAUCCAGGUCAACCGGGAUAGCUAUUGCCCGUGCUUUGGCUGAGGAGACAUGGAGAAUUGGUGGGCUAAGUAACUGAGGAGGGAUGAGUGGAACUGAACCAUUCACGCAGGAAUAGUGAUUUUUAAAAAAACAAUACUGGGCAAAUAAAAACCAAAAAAUGCCAUUCUGUUUGUGAUGCUGUGCUGUUUUUGUAAUCAAUAGACUGACUGAGAGUAGCAUCACUUACCAACAUCAGCAAGAGUUUUGAUGCAGUUCUCAAUAUUUGCCUUCUGAGUGACCCAUGUGCAGCUGUAGAGCCUGAAAGCUGACUGGAGCAGCUUAAUGAAGAUAGAUUGGUUUGUCUGUGACAAAGUGAAGACAUGGAACCUCAGUCAGUGAACCCAUGGAUUAGAAAUUCAAGUAAUGCACAAAAUGUCAAGCAAAACACCUCAUGUAACUGCUUUAAACAAAGGGCAAUUUAAAUAAGAAUCACUGAAAGAGCCUCCCUUCAAAAACAGACACACAAACUAAAGUUUUAAUUGACACAAUUAAUCAUUGAACAAAAUGCUUAUUAUAGAAAAGUGAGCAGUUUUACACCACAGCAAACUACUAUAACAACAUUGUUUCUUUGUGUUGGCAGAUUGCUUUUAUUCAGAUUGUACUGACAGUUAUAUAUGAAUUAAUCAUGCGCUUGAUGAGUUUAUGUCUGGAAAAAAAUAUACCUGAAGGUUGGAGUGGUUGACAGAAAAUGGUGAACUAAAAAAUCCUGUGAUGAUGGCCAUCACUGUCUCCGUCACAUACUUCUCAAGGGCCAAAUCAGCAUGGUUCCGGUCUGUGGUGGUAUUACACACCUAGAUACACCAAGAAUAUUCUUUAAGUGGUAGUUUCUCUGAGCAUGCUGUAGAAGAAUUGUGACUUUAAAUCUGAGGCCUUACUCUGGACAUAUCAACCAGGAUGUUGUCGAACAGUUUCCAGAUGUGAUUGGAGGUAUAGAUCUCUUUCAUUUCCACCUCUGUGUCUACAUAGCAGUGAUUGACAAAGUUCACAUAUGCAGUUUUCACCUGUGGGGAAAAAAAAAGAAUUAAAAAAUGUAAGGCUAGAUACAAAUAUUUAAUAUUAAACAGGCGACUGUCACUCAAUUAAGUACAUUUUUUAGAGCAAUUAACGCAUGCGCACCAGAGCAAGCACGCCUCUCUGUUAUGAUGGCAGACAAAAGCACAGUGGAGCGUCCCCGCACAAUGUAACGCUCUUUUAGAACUUUAUUCUGACCUGAACACAUCAACAGCAGUACAAUUCCAACACCAUAUACUGUAUGUAUCUCCAACUCACACAUCUCUAGUCCAUUCAUCAGGGACAAUCCAAAAAUCACAAAAACGGCUUUGUGUAAAUAAACAAGAAGAUAAAGAAAAACAUGAAGUGGAUAUUCUUAUCAUGCACUUUGUUUGUAACGCUUACGAAGUGCGUGAUAAGAACACUUCGGAUGUGCAAUUUGCUACAUUUAAGAAUGCUGGAAAAUACACUGAAAACAAGUAUAUUUACCUUAAAUUACGUGAUGUCUGAACGCAACCCCAAUUCCUCAUAAUAACACGGUUUAUUAUGUGUGAAUCAAUCAAAUGUUCUGCUACUAUUAAAGAGACUAGUGUUAGACAAAUAUGUUUUUUUAGCCUUGUGUGGUAUCUUUUAGCUUGAUUGACAUAUUCAGAUCAUUUGGAGCUGUCCAUACAUACAAACAUAUAUAAUCCUGUCCUGUCAUUUAUCUGUUAAUUAAAUACAGCAAAAAUGGGCAUAUUUCAGACAUAGUUGCUAAUGGUGAUCAAUCAUAACUGAUGCAUUUAAAAACGGUGACUAAUCUGAUUACAUUUUUAAAUCAUUUGACAACCCUAAUCAAAAUAUAUUCUAAUGUCAUGUCCAGCUACAAGAUACGUUCACCAAAUAAAAAUCACUAACUCAGAAUUUGGCCAGGGUAAGAAUAAUGUAGGGAGUUUUUUUAAAGAAAUAAAUCAGGUUUCUAGAAUAAGGUCAGGUCAAUAAUAAACUACAAAAAAUGACACAAAAUCAGUGAGAAAACAAUGUCACAGCUUCAUCAAAGUGCAUGUGUAUAUAUAAAACAUUCGCAUGCUGACAAAAAAUGUUUGUUCGCAUAAUCCCCCAAAAAACGGUGAUCCGUGUUCUGCAUCAGGCAGACAAACAAAUAGGAAUGUGACGUAUCCUAAAGUGUCUGGUGGAAUUCAACAGUGUAUCCUUUACCUCUGGGAUGCAAUUGACAUCGGUGACAACUUUGACAAUAUCAUCCAGCGGAAGCAGAGAGUUACAUUUCAGUUCCGUGUAGACGUUUUUGCCCUCAGUGCAGGCAGCAAGCAGCUCGACAAGCGUGUUGUGAUAAGCCAGAGCUCCAUCCUCAUCCGUGCGCUCACGCUCAGAGCCCAUCAUCUGCAGCAGGACUGGAAACGAGGAGCGGUCAUUGUAGAACACCAGGACAUCCUCACCUCCGUUCACCAGCUGUAAAAAGAACAAUAAAGAUCAGGCUUUGACUGCACUUUCCUCUACCAUUAAUCUCGACCUGUACAUUUUGUAAGUGUAUUUCCAAUAUAAACAUUUGUAGUAACAAAUGUGAAUUAUUAAAAUGUACACAGCAAGAUUCUGCUUAACCAUCUGUUCAGCAAUAUACAUUUUGUAGGCAGUGUCCCAACAGAUGGUGCUGUUUUUCUUUGUUCACAAAAUAUCUAAAUACAGAUCAGUCAUUUAUAUAACAUUAGCUCUAUACAAGUCACCGGGAAAAUAUGGGACGUCAGGAAAAUAGUAUUAGCAGAUGGAUAGAUCUCUCACCUCUGUCAUGACUUUGUCCUGACAUUUCUUCACAUACUUCCCUUCAGCUUUCACAAUUGUUUGCAGGAACUUCAAGUACAGAACGUGGCGCCCAUGCGUUUCAAUGCAGUGGACAAAAUGAUGAACAACGCGGUCGCUGAUCUCAUUGCACAGCUGGUAGUAAUUCAUAAAGAUGUGACGCAUCGUUUCAGCUUCUAGCAACUGUUGAGAAACAAGAGGCAUGUUUCAGUCUAUUUAGAAAAGAUAGGGGAGUCACAUUAAUACAGGCCAUUAAAAAAGUAAUAAUCUUACAGUAUGUUAAUAUUUGGCCUCUAAGGAUAACUAACUGCGGUUACAUUGUACAGAUGAAAAAUAUUUGCUCUUCGAAGGCGUGCCUUCCUAAAAGUGACUCGUGUCAAUCGAGAUCAUACCCCCGGAGUGAGGAAGAGAUUGAGGUGUUUAUGGAGCAGAAAUUGGUUCUGAUGAUUCCCUCUGCAGAAGUUCUGCAGAAAUGUGUGU